rnacentral:rRNA from 1 species
UACAGAGGGUGCAAGCGUUAUUCGGAAUUAUUGGGCGUAAAGCGCGCGUAGGCGGUUUGGUAAGUCUGAUGUGAAAUCCCCGGACUCAAUUCGGGAAGUGCAUUGGAUACUGCUAGACUGGAGUAUGGGAGAGGAGAGCGGAAUUCCAGGUGUAGAGGUGAAAUUCGUAGAUAUCUGGAGGAACAACAGAGGCGAAGGCGGCUCUCUGGACCAUUACUGACGCUGAGGCGCGAAAGCGUGGGGAGCAAACAGG